CUCCCCGCCCCUCGUUCACCUUAAAUUGGAAGAGGGAAUCGAACGCGGCUGUUGUUUGGCAAAGCUGUCGCGUGUGUCUACCAGGCCAUCCCCCCGCAGGGUCCUCGACAACGGCUCGCUCGGUUCGCGCACCUCCAAUCCCAGUCGUCCAUCGCGUGCGCGGACUCCCCGUCUACAAAUGGAGAACCACGGAAAGCGAAAGAGCCUCCCCUCUUCCUCUCGUCGACCCAAGAAAUCCCGACCGUCAGGGUCUCCAUCGGAUCGUGGAUUUCUCCGCUCCCAAUCCGAUUCUUGGUUACGAUCCAUGGUUGCUGACUCUUCCAACGGAGGCCAGUCCCAGUUUCCGUUUGGAAUGCGGGUUCUGAUCGUGGACGAUGAUGUCAUAUCUCUCAGGGCGGUGGAGUUUCUCCUCUUGAGAUGCGGCUAUCUAGUUACUGCAACCCUGGAUGCGGUUACAGCUCUAAAGCUAUUAAGAGAGAACAGAGACAAUUAUGAUCUUGUGAUUAGUGAUGUUCGGAUGCCUGAGAUGGAUGGAUUUGAGCUGUUAGAAGCCAUUGGACUUGAGAUGGAUGUACCUGUUAUUAUGUUGUCUGCGGAUGGCGAAGUAAAUACAGUGAUGAAAGGUAUUGCGUAUGGGGCUGUUGACUAUUUGGUGAAACCUGUGAGGCUUGAGGAACUUAGGCUCAUCUGGAAGCACGUGGUUAAGAAAUCAUUACAUGGUACAAAGGAGGCUAACAAUCCUGGUGACAGGAAUAAUCAUGAAGAGGAAUUAGAAGAUGAUCAUGAAGAAGAAUUAGAUGAUAAUCAUGAAAUAGAAUUAGAAGAUAAUCAUGAUAGGGAAUUAGAAGCCGAUCAUGAAAAAGAAUUAGAAGAUGAUCAUACUACAAAGGUUAUGAGAAAAGGCAAAGAAAGAGAGAGUUCUAGUGAUGGCUCAUCAACACAGAAAAAGCCUAGGUUUGUAUGGUCACCAGAGAUGCACGCUCUAUUCCUGAAAGCUGUUCAUCAUUUAGGCAUAGAUAGAGCAGUGCCUAAAAAAAUACAAGAUUUAAUGAAUGUCCCAGGACUUACUCGUGAGACUAUUGCAAGUCAUUUGCAGAAGUAUAGACUGGCUAUUAAGAAGAAUCGUAUGGGAAUGAAUCUACAAUAUUAUGGUGGUGUUGGUCCAAAUGGAUGUGGUGGAAGCUAUCCAAGCUUAUUUCUCCUUCCCUUUAAUCAACAUCUCCUUUCAAAUGUCAAUACUCCUGGAGGUCUUAAUCCAGUUUGUCAUUCUCAAAAUUCUCAUUAUAACCUUUCUCAAAUUACACCAGCAUGGUUACCUCAUUUGAUGAACAAUCAAGAUAAUGUACACCAACAAUUUAUGGCAAAUCCCCAAGCAGGUCAAUUAAAACUGCAACAGUUUGGAUAUGCAUUGAAUCCUUAUGUGGUAGGAACAUCAAAUACUGAAUCAGGAUUCCAGGGCUCAGCCUAUCACUAUCUCACUGCAAGACCAAAUCAAGUUGACGGCCAUAUGCAGAAUUCUUCUCAUAAUCCUUGUUCAAGCACUGGAAAUCCUGGACCAAAUUCAGGUCCCCAACCUGGGCAUUUGUCAAAUCCUUUCAUGAUGGGGACAUCAAAUGCCCUGUCAGGAUUCAACAGCUUGAGCUGUCAGGGUCUUACUUCAACAGAUCAAGUUGAUGGCUCUGUGCAGAAUUCUUCUUAUCAUCCUUGUGCAAACAGUGGACAUCCUGGACCAAGCUCAGGUUUCCAACCUGGGUUGUUCUUUGACGAUACCAACUUUCAGCAUGAUGUCUUGGAAGACAGCACCUUAGCUGAGUUGAAUGCAAGAUCUCCAAUGCAAUAUGAGCAGAAUAAGUUUGUUGACCACACUGGAGCAGAUGUGGGAAUGCAAGGAAGUGGAGACUCAAUGGAUUUGCAGAGUUGUCCUGAUGGAGAAAUAUUCAAAGAAAUAAGUAAUUCAGACUUGACAAAACAUCCUUCAGAGCAUUCACCAUCGGAAACAGCAUUUGACAUUGACAAGUGUGACUCUAUGGAUGAUCUUGAUACAUUCUUCAAGCAGUUUCAGCAGUAGCAAGGUUCUCGGGGCAGUUGCUGGACGUUUCUGGUCUCACUUUUCACGUCAGCUUAGAACAAGACAUAUUUCUGAUUGCCUUUGUAUAGCUCAGAAAGUUUGCCGAUUAGUGAAUUGAUUGGACGUCAUGCACAUCUAGUGGAUGGCAGAGGUCCUCAAUAUUUCAGUUUCCCAUUUUUUAUUCUUUUGAGAGAGAGUCACCCCAUUGCUUCCAAUCUGUUUGUCGCCAGCUGUUAUAUUCUUCGCAUUCCGUUGCCCCUCAUCAUGGCACCUCUAUUUAUCCGUUGCUGCGCGCACUCUUUUUCUUCUCGGCCGCUGGGCUUUGGAAGGGCUUUGGAAGCCGCGAUCGGAAAGCCAUCGGCAAUGCCGCAACUAGCGUUUCGCCUGCGAUAUUCCCCUCUCCAAGAAGCCCUCUUCCCUCGAAAUCUCCCGUUCCGAAUCCCUUCUUCCCCCCGCUCCUCGUCUCCCCCCACACCUUCUCCCUGUCGCCGCCUCGUGAGAACCUCCUCCGCUCCCAGUCUCCGACGGUUGACGUCGCGGAUCGUCAAGCUCACGAGAAGGAGGCAGCUGCAUCAGAUCUUUGAGGAAGUGGAGGUCGCGAGGAAGCGUUACAGGAAGCUGAACACCAUCGUGAUGAAUGCGGUCCUGGAAGCGUGCGUUCAUUGUGGGGACGUUGAUUCGGCUCAACGGAUCUUUGAGGAGAUGGCCAAGCCGGAAAGCUGCGGUGUUGACAGCGUCUCCUACGGUAUCUUGUUGAAGGUAAGUCAAGAAUUGCAGGUUUCUUUAUUCCUUUUCUAAGUUCUUUGAUUACUAGAUUGACUUAUAUGAGAAAUUUUAUGGUUGUGAUAGAUUGUUAUAUUUAGGUUUUAUGAUUCGGAAGUUGAUAUUGAACCAA